GUUGUAGUCUGGAGAAGUGCUUUCCGCGCUGGACCGUGUACAAGUCUCUUGGAACAGAGCGUCAUAGAGGGUGAGAAUCCCGUCUUUGACACGGACUACCAGUGCUUUGUGAUGCGCUCUCAAAGAGUCGAGUUGUUUGGGAAUGCAGCUCAAAAUGGGUGGUGAAUUCCAUCUAAAGCUAAAUAUUGGCGAGAGACCGAUAGCGAACAAGUACCGUGAGGGAAAGAUGAAAAGCACUUUGGAAAGAGAGUUAAACAGUACGUGAAAUUGCUGAAAGGGAAACGCUUGAAGUCAGUCGCGUUGUCCGGAACUCAGCCUUGCUUUUGCUUGGUGCACUUUCCGGAUGACGGGUCAGCAUCGAUUUCGACCGUCGGAAAAGGGCUAGAGUAAUGUGGCACCUUCGGGUGUGUUAUAGACUCUGGUCGCAUACGGCGGUUGGGAUCGAGGAACGCAGCGCGCCGUAAGGCAGGGGUUCGCCCACUUUCGCGCUUAGGAUGCUGGCAUAAUGGCUUUAAACGACCCGUCUUGAAACACGGACCAAGGAGUCUAACAUACCUGCGAGUGUUUGGGUGGAAAACCCGAGCGCGUAAUGAAAGUGAAAGUUGAGACUCCUGUCGUGGGAGGCAUCGACGCCCGGACCAGACGUUCUCUGACGGAUCCGCGGUAGAGCAUGUAUGUUGGGACCCGAAAGAUGGUGAACUAUGCCUGAAUAGGGUGAAGCCAGAGGAAACUCUGGUGGAGGCUCGUAGCGAUUCUGACGUGCAAAUCGAUCGUCAAAUUUGGGUAUAGGGGCGAAAGAC
rnacentral:rRNA from 1 species